ACACACAAGAGACUUUGAGCUAUGAUAAUAAUCUCAUAUAUAAUUAACAGCGCAUAUAUAUAUAUAUACACAAAUAAAUAACAAUAUAUAAUUAAUUUAAAAUCUAUGCAAUUUUCUUUUUAUCAUCAGUUUUUAUUUAAAUCUCAAAAGAGAUAAUUCUAAGGAAUAUUAUUUACAUAAGUGACAUGAAACGGUUCGGUACAAACUUUUCGUGUCAAAUUGCCAGUUUUAACAUUUACAUUACGAGAAAUAAUAGAUAAAGAGAAACUUGUGAAUUCUUUCUUGUCGCUCUGAAAAUCCUCCAAAUAUGCUGAAAACAUCGGUCAUUCGGUUGGAGAAGACAUCGUCUGCACCAGGUCUAUAAAAAAGCUAUAUCUUGGUUGUCGGCACCAAUCAUACACUUCAUCGCCUAGAGUAGAGCUUCGACUUUAGUGUGGACUGGAGAUAGACUUCUACGAAGAUUUGCAACUCCCAUGGUUGGCGACUCUACAUUUGAUGACUUACAGUUCCUAAAAACUUAUAACUUUCUUUGCAUGAUUCGUCAACAAAGCAGCAGAAUCCUUAAUAUAUAUUAUCAUGUGAGAUAUCCCUCACCCAAAUUUGUUUUUCCGAUCCCAAGGAGCUGUGAUUUUCACAAUGAAGCUCAACUUGAGCUAAUUGCCACGAUUGUACCUUUUUCAGCUAAACAUAAUACCUCUAACGGAUCUUUAUCCACAUUCUCUAAUAUUUUUUUCAUUCUUUGCUUUUCAAUGUAGAAUCGAAUUAUGAAAGUAUUCUUGAGAAUAAGUGAUCCAAAUUCGCAUAAAUAGAAGUCGUGAGAAAAAUCUCUGGGACAGUAGGAAUCUGUGAAAGAGUUCAUAUCUGUCUCGAUGGGUGACAUUGGAAAAGUGUAUGGUUAAUUGUUUCCUCUAGUGCGUCACACCUAGCAUAUUCUGAAUCACAAUUUAUAUCUCUUUUCUGCAAAUUCUCCGUUACCAGCACAAAACCUAAUAAUAUUUGUCACAAAAAUGACGUAACUUAGACGGACACUGUACUUUCCAAGUAUGUACUUUUAAUGCUUUGAUUUCUGGGCCAAAUAAAGGUAAAUUUUCAUCCAAAUUUUUUAACUGCUUUGUAUGAUAACCAGAUUUAACUGUAUAUAUUCCGGAUUUUGUAAAAUACAGGAUUUCGUGAAAUACCAACCUAGAGUAUCCUCCUUCGUUGACGCACCCAAGUGUAAUGCACUUAUCUACUGAAUAUUUUCUGGAUCAAAUAGCUCCUUUAAAAGAUUAAUAUUCCAAAAUUUUGACUGGCUACAUGAUUUUUAACUUUUAAAGAUGAAUCAAUAUUAGACCCAAUACUUAUUGCUGAUCUGGAAAUACCAACCUAGAGUAUCCUCCUUCGUUGACGCACCCAAGUGUAAUGCACUUAUCUACUGAACAUUUUAUGGAUCAAAGCGCUCCUUUAAAAGAU
rnacentral:sRNA from 1 species